AUUGAACGCUGGCGGCAGGCCUAACACAUGCAAGUCGAACGAGUGGCGGACGGGUGAGUAAUGUCUGGGAAACUGCCCGAUGGAGGGGGAUAACUACUGGAAACGGUAGCUAAUACCGCAUACCAUCGGAUGUGCCCCGAUGGGAUUAGCUAGUCGGUGGGGUAACGGCUCACCUAGGCGACGCUCCCUAGCGGGUCUGAGAGGAUGACCAGCAACACUGGAACUGAGACACGGGCCAGACUCCUACGGGAGGCAGCAGGGGGGAAUAUUGCACAAUGGGCGCAAGCCUGAUACAGCCAUGCCGCGUGUAUGAAGAAGGCCUUCGGGUUGUAAAGUACUUUCAGCGAGGAGGCGUUACUCGCAGAAGAAGCACCGGCUAACUCCGUGCCAGCAGCCGCGGUAAUUC
rnacentral:rRNA from 1 species